rnacentral:rRNA from 1 species
AAUGAACGCUGGCGGCGCGCCUAAUACAUGCAAGUCGAGCGAGAAGACGUAGCAAUACGUUUGUAAAGCGGCGAACGGGUGAGGAAUACAUGGGUAACCUACCCUCGAGUGGGGAAUAACUAGCCGAAAGGUUAGCUAAUACCGCGUACGCUUCUUGGACUUCGGUUCAGGGAGGAAAGCGAUGCCGAGGGUAUCGCGCUCUUGGAUGGGCUCAUGUCCUAUCAGCUGUUGGUGAGGUAACGGCUCACCAAGGCUUCGACGGGUAGCUGGUCUGAGAGGACGAUCAGCCACACUGGCACUGCGACACGGGCCAGACUCCUACGGGAGGCAGCAGUAAGGAAUAUUGCGCAAUGGGCGAAAGCCUGACGCAGCGACGCCGC